AGAAGCAUAACUAUUUUUUUUCCUAUUUGUAAGGAAAGAGAACAACCAAGUGCCAAAUCAUCAAAAAGGAAGAUAAAGAUAAAGUUGAAUUGUCACAACAUGCUCCCGAACAGACAGGAGGAGUUGCCAAAGAAUCGUUACACAUUAAAGUUCCAGACAUGUUGAUGCUUCCAUCCUGAGAGGGUGUAAGCUAUAAGAGAAACAAUAGUAAGAAGGCUGGUCCAGGGUUUACUGAUGAAGGUGCUGAUCAGUAGUACCAUGAACAGCACGGCUGAUUUUGAAUGGAAAGUUGCGUGUGAGUUGGUCAAGUCACAGCCAAACUAGUCUUUCGUACCUGUUUCCUUAGUGCCAUUUCCAUGUCUUUCUGAGUGUCAAUAAGUACCAGGACAGCAAAAUGGGAUGUUUAGUGCCUGACGGGACAGCUUGGUGGGGUAACAAGAGGCGUGAUGCGUCUGCCUCCCUUCAAAGCAUCUCUGCAUUGCUUUAAGAAUAUUCUGCAAGUUUAAAGCUGAUGAAGGAAGACGUACAGCAGCUAUAGUCACCAUACACUAGGCUGAAGCCCCUGUCCAUAGCUAAGGGAGCUGAUUGCUUAGAUGAAAGGAGGCUCACUUGGGGCCUUGGAGCUGGAGAACACAAAGAAAGAACAAACAACAGCAGACCUGAUGGUUCUUACGAGGCUGUUUGUGACAAGCUACACUAACUAUCUAAUCAAAGGUGGAAGAUGAAGGACAGCAAGAUGAAGAAGCGUCUCUCAGCCCUUCCUCUCGGGUGCCGGCUUUGUCAAACUCUUCAUGGAAAUUUGCACUGACCUCAUCAUGCCAGAGACUGGGCAUACACAAGGCGACCCAUUGUAGUAGCAGUGUUGUGUUCCCCCAGUGACCUGCCGACCACUGUGCUGCUCAUCAAGUUUGUGGAGGAGGGAGACAGUGCGAUGGGCACAGUCAUGCUGCUCAACUUUCUCAAUGCUUGGAAGGUCCAGGAGCAAGCUGCAACAUGGACGAUGCCUUUUCUUGGAAAAAUAUGUUUUGGAGCCCAACACCACAGAGGCUGCCAGGAGUGAAAUUUUUAUAUUCAAAACUUGCCUCAGAACUAGCAGGGGUGCCAGAAUGCUAGGGGUACAUCAGCUGCAUCCCACACUCCCAGGCUGUACUUGGGACACGCUACAUGGGAGUACUUGCAUGGGAGGGCCUGAUACAAAAUGUAUUGUGAACAGGAGCCGUCCAGCCGCCCCGGAGAGCCCAGCAACCACACCCUGCAAGACAGCCUGCUCAUCCACACACACAGCCUCACCCUUCAGGCAGGAGACUGACGGGACAAGAACAACAACAACAACAACAAGAGGAGGGGGAGGAGGGUGGUACACAGGAGUGACUGGUGGGUGUUUGGUGACCCAGGGCGUUGAGGGAAGCCAGACGCUCUCCUAUAGGGCUUCAGGCAGAUACAACUCCCUCAUCACCUGCUUCACUCCAGCCCAGACUUUGCCACAGCUUCAUCUUAAGGCAGAAGAAGAAGAAGAAGAAGAAGAAAACACAGAGAGAGAAGAGGAGGAAGAAGAAGAGGAAGGACUUGUAAUAUGGCAGACAUCAAACCAAUGGUGAGUGUUAAAUAUUUUGUCUUUUCUUCCUUCCUUCCUUCCUUCCCUCCUUCCUUCCUUCCUUCCUUCCUUCCUGGCUCUUGUAUGGAUGGAUAGAUGCUUACAGGUAUGGGUGAGAGGGGCCUGGGGGUUAAUAAGGAUAAAUCUGGGUGUGAUUAAAGAGAGGAAGGAGGAAGAGGAGGGGGGCUGUCUGUCUUCCCUGCCCUUUGAUAGAAUAGAUGGAUGAGCAAGUUCUGAGGUUAACCAUUCCACAGCCUCCAGCCCAGGGUCUUGUAGUGCCUAUAGGGAGGGUCUGGGGUCUGCUAAAACAUGCUGAGUAAUGCACAGUGGAGGCAUUAGCAUAGGGGUGGUUAGGACAGUUUUUUUGGGAAGAAAGAUCAUUAACGAACAACAGAGAGAGUGGGGGAUAGAACAGAGGGACACCACUGUGGACAGGUUUAGGGGCAGAGCAGUGACCGUCUUCCACAGUGGAGAUAGAACAGCUGGAAAGGAAACUGGAGAGAGAGAGAGAGAGAGAGAGAGAGAGAGAGAGAGAGAGAGAGAG